CUCCAAAAUUAUAUAAAAUGUAAUCAAGAAUUAUAGUCCAGAUCUACCCUGUCAUAAUUGGAAGAUGGUCAAUGAUGACGAGGACAUCCAUCAGUGAUGACCGCUAUUUCUGAAAAGUUAGUUGGAAGCAUUUGCUUCCAAGUUGCAACCCCCCAGAGUAGAAAUUCUUCCUUGUCAUUUAUUGAAUUCCAGCAUGCUAUGAUUGAUCUUCCACUCCUUGGUUUGCAUUUGAAUCACCGUUGGCUGCCAAACCUCGAAUCUUAACAUCAUAGUACACUUCUUCAACCCUUCUUAGAUCAUACUUCAUACCAUCAAACUUCUUGCGCAGAAAAUCAUUCCGGAGAUUAAGCAUGCGGAAGGCUGCAUGGAGGUCUGUCAAGAACUUCAACACCUUUCUUGGGCAAUCAUAGUCCCCAGCAGUCACUCGAUUCACCACAUAUCUAGGCAUUUCAUUUGACAUGAAACAAACACCAAUAAGAUAGUCCUCAAUGUCCAAAACAAACUCUGAACUGUUCAACCCAAGUUUUUCCUCUGCUUCAGAAUGUGUAAGUAGAUUUCCUGUCUCUAACCAGUGCAUAAAAGCAAGCAGAGAAACCAGGAUCUGGGUUUCACUUCUCCAAUCUCCAUGAUACCUGUAAUAUUGCCCAGGGCAAUCACGAAUAAUUUCUGCAAGUUGGCCGUAAAGUCCCUUCAGGACUCCAAUUUGAGCCUUAGCCUCUUCUAAAACCUCUGGAAUUGGGCGGGAUUGGUGGACAAGGAGAAGGCUAACGUGCAUGAGUCUAGUGGCGGACUCGAUCUCCACCACGACUGCUCGAAUUUUCUCGCGUAAGGCUCCGGAUUCUUCAAGCUGCGCACGGAAAUCCUUGAACUGCUUCUCGAGAGGAGGAGGAGAAAGGUUGGGGGCGUGAGAAUCGUCGGCGCUCGCCAUUGACGAGAAGGAGCAGAACGAGCGAAAAGGUAGGUGUUGCGGACGAAAAGGCAAGAAAGAGAGUGAAAGAGAGGUGGUGAUGGAAGGGAGAGAGUGGGAAAUGGUAGAGGGCUUGGGGAUAGGGUUUAAGGAGCGAGAGAGGGAGAAGUAGGCGUUUCUAAACGCCGAUUUCAUUUUGCUUCUCCUUUUAACCGGAUAAUCUUGUGGUUUCUCCUUGACCCCUUGAGACACAACCGCAGAGGAUCCGUGAUUUCCU
rnacentral:misc_RNA from 1 species